GAAGCGAGUGGCGAACUGGUGAGUAACACGUGGGAAAUCUGCCCAGAAGCAGGGGAUAACACUUGGAAACAGGUGCUAAUACCGUAUAACAACAAAAUCCGCAUGGAUUUUGUUUGAAAGGUGGCUUCGGCUAUCACUUCUGGAUGAUCCCGCGGCGUAUUAGUUAGUUGGUGAGGUAAAGGCCCACCAAGACGAUGAUACGUAGCCGACCUGAGAGGGUAAUCGGCCACAUUGGGACUGAGACACGGCCCAAACUCCUACGGGAGGCAGCAGUAGGGAAUCUUCCACAAUGGACGAAAGUCUGAUGGAGCAAUGCCGCGUGAGUGAAGAAGGGUUUCGGCUCGUAAAACUCUGUUGUUAAAGAAGAACACCUUUGAGAGUAACUGUUCAAGGGUUGACGGUAUUUAACCAGAAAGCCACGGCUAACUACGUGCCAGCAGCCGCGGUAAUACGUAGGUGGCAAGCGUUGUCCGGAUUUAUUGGGCGUAAAGCGAGCGCAGGCGGUUUUUUAAGUCUGAUGUGAAAGCCUUCGGCUUAACCGGAGAAGUGCAUCGGAAACUGGGAGACUUGAGUGCAGAAGAGGACAGUGGAACUCCAUGUGUAGCGGUGGAAUGCGUAGAUAUAUGGAAGAACACCAGUGGCGAAGGCGGCUGUCUAGUCUGUAACUGACGCUGAGGCUCGAAAGCAUGGGUAGCGAACAGGAUUAGAUACCCUGGUAGUCCAUGCCGUAAACGAUGAGUGCUAAGUGUUGGAGGGUUUCCGCCCUUCAGUGCUGCAGCUAACGCAUUAAGCACUCC
rnacentral:rRNA from 2 species